rnacentral:lncRNA from 1 species
AAUUUCUAACUCUAUUGAUAUAACAGGUUGGCAUCAUUCUUUGACACCAAUGGGUUGGGUGAUGAUAGGAUGAACACAAAUUAUUCAUUCAUUUAAUAAAUAAUUAGGACAUACGUGUCUGUUAUUUCCAGGGAAGCCAGGAAGUGUGUUUUCCUCGCUGUCUUCACAAAAACACCUCAGCCUUCUGUUCUGACCACUGAGUUAACAUUUACAAGAGUGACUCCUUUAGGCCCCGUCAGUCCAAGUGCUCAGCAAAACUGACCAGAGCAAUCCAGAAGCAGAAACCUACUCUCUCUGCAGUGUCAUGAGUCAGCUAGAUUUUAGACUUCAUUCCUUCUUGGUUACUCAAUUAGAGAAAUUUCAAACUCCUGAGCCACAGGGAGGAUGGGUACUCGCUUCCUAUGCCCAUCAGAGGGAGGGAGUAGGAUGAUUUCAGGUAAUCAAGUUGGUGUACUUUGAAAAUCAACCCAUGCAGAAUAAGAACCUUCCUGGAGAAGAGACCACACCCCCGGUGGGCCUCCGC